rnacentral:tRNA from 1 species
GGAGAGGUGGGUGAGUGGCUGAAACCACCGGUUUGCUAAACCGGCAUACGAGUAACAUUGUAUCGGGGGUUCGAAUCCCCCUCUCUCCG